GCCAGACUCCUACGGGAGGCAGCAGUGAGGAAUAUUGGUCAAUGGCCGAGAGGCUGAACCAGCCAAGUCGCGUGAGGGAUGACGGCCCUACGGGUUGUAAACCUCUUUUGCCGGGGAGCAAAGAGCGGGACGCGUCCCGCCUCGAGAGUACCCGGAGAAAAAGCAUCGGCUAACUCCGUGCCAGCAGCCGCGGUAAUACGGAGGAUGCGAGCGUUAUCCGGAUUUAUUGGGUUUAAAGGGUGCGUAGGCGGGGCCUUAAGUCAGCGGUAAAAUUGCGGUGCUCAACGCCGUAGAGCCGUUGAAACUGGGGUUCUUGAGUGAGCGAGAAGUAUGCGGAAUGCGUGGUGUAGCGGUGAAAUGCAUAGAUAUCACGCAGAACCCCGAUUGCGAAGGCAGCAUACCGGCGCUCAACUGACGCUGAGGCACGAAAGUGCGGGUAUCGAACAGGAUUAGAUACCCUCGUAUC
rnacentral:rRNA from 1 species